rnacentral:lncRNA from 1 species
AUGUUUCCUUAAAAAUUAAACAGAAUGACUAGCAAUUCUACUCCUAUGUACAUAGCCAGAAGAAUUGAAAACAGGUUCUCAUAAAAAUACUUGUACACAAAUGUCCUUAGAAGCGCUAUUCACAAUAAAGAAAAAAUGGAAGUAACCCAACAGUCCAUCAACAGAAGAAUCACGAGCGUUGUGGUAUUAUGCAUGCUAUGGAAUAUCAUUCAGCCAUAAAAAAGAACACAGCAUUGAUACUUGCUACAGUGUGGAUAAAUCUCAAAAACAUGCGAAGUGAAAGAAAACAGGCAUAAAAGGUCACAUGUUGCACAAUUCCAUUUAUAUGAGAGUCAGAAAGCAAAUCUGUGGUUACCACGGGUAGGGUGGGUGGGAGGUUGGGGAGUAAUUUGUUUGUUUAUUUUUUGUCUUUUGGAGGCUGAACCCAUGAUAUAUAUGGAGACUCCCAGAGUGGGCAGAAUUAAGAGCUGUAGCUUCCAGCCUGUGCCACAGCCACAACAAUGCCGUAUCUGAGCUAUGUUUGCGACCCACACCAUAGCUCACAGCAACACCGGAUCCCUAACCCACUGAGUGAGGCCAGGGAUCAAACCCUCAUCCUCACUGAUACUAGUCGGGUUCAUUAACCGCUGAGCAAUGAUGGGAACUCCUGGGGAAUAACUGUUUAGUGUACUAAAUGUCCACUUUAAAAUGGUUUAAUUUUACGUUAUGUGGAUUUUACUUCACUAAAAAAAAAUGUAAAUCUAGCAAAAACUACAUAACCAACAAACCUAUUUCUUCAAGACGUAAUGUAAUCCUUUAUUAAAGUAUAGUUGAUUCACAACAAAUUGAUGUGCCAAUUUUGGCUGUAGAGCAAAGUGACUACAUUUUGUGUGUGUGUGUGUGUGUGUGUGUGUGUGUGUGUGUGUAUAAAUUUUCUUUUCCAUCAUGGUCUAUCCCAGGAGACUGGAUAUAGUUUCCUGUGCUAUACAGUAGGGCCUUCUUGCUUAUCCGUUCUAAAUGUAAUAGUUUGCAUCUACUAACCACAAACUCCCAGUCCAUCCCCCUCCUUACCCCUCCCCUUGACAACUACAAAUCUGUUCUUGAUGUCGGUGAGUCUGCCCAACAAACCUAUUAAGAAUAACACAGCCUCCUUCUCCACAGUCUUGAUAAAAGACUGCCUGCUAAAUUAGAAUCAGUAAUUUUUAACAAGUAGAACCAGUAAAUCUAUUUAAUCGACAAUAAUCUGAUUCAGUAACCUUGCCUCCGGAAGCCAGUCAUUCAAUGACAGUCAAACUUUUGAAGGUCAACCAGUCAACAAUAAACUUACCACUGAAAGAAUCUUCUGAAAGCCAGAUGGCCAACAUGUCUUGCCAGAAUGACCACGUUUGGAGUUCCUGUCAUGGCUCAGUGGUUAACGAAUCCGACUAGGAACCAUGAGGUUGCGGGUUCGACCCCUGGCCUUGCUCAGUGGGUUAAGGAUCCAGCAUUGCCAUGAGAUGUGGUGUGGGUCGCAGACGCGGCUCGGAUCCCGUGUUGCUGUGGCUCUGGUAUAGGCUGGUGGCUACAGCUCCGAUUCGACCCCUCGCCGGGGAACCUCCAUAUGCCGCAGGAACGGCCCAAGACAUGGCAAAAAGACUAAAAAAAAAAAAAAAGAAUAACCACAUUUGUAAGGGUGACGUCAACCCACUCCACCUCUGUAACCAACACAACACCAAAACAAUACCUGACUCAGAAACCGUAUGUAAAAUUAGCAGUUGGAUUUACUCAAAAUGACAAGCCUAACCAGCACAACUCUCCCUUUCUUAAGUAAUACAGUUUUUAUUUCAGAUAUCAUGUGAUCACUUUGGUCUCUCCCUUAGACAAUCCUCACACUGAGAUUUCUAAUACCUCACCUGACAGUAAUCCACCGGACCCUUGGACCAACAGGAAAGAUCAGUGGCCUCUUGAGUCCCAAACGCCAACAGUCCUCAUAUCUGUUGUCAAGUGAGUUUCUCAGAAACUAUCUGAACUCUGACUAGGUUCACUGAGCUUUAAUUGCUGAAUUGAUUUUAUCUAAGACUUCUAAACAAACAGAUCUUCAUAUAACGUUACUUAGUACAUUUAGGUCUGUCUUUAUGAUAAUCAAGACCCCCUGCUUGGUUUUCCUUCACGUUCUUGUUCAUCUAUUUAUAUAAAUUCUUGUCUUCUGUGUUCUUAAUUUGUCCUUUAUUGUCUUGUAUCUGUUUAACAUACAAGGAAGUACUUUAGAGGAAACAGAUGGAGGUAUAAGUCAAGUCUCCAAAUCAACAUAAGUCGGCGCUAAAGCUAAUGAUCCAUUAGGCUGAUGUCCACUGGCUGCUAAAAUGAUUGGUCAAACUUAGCCUUGGGUUCCCUGCGAGAUCCUCUUAAGAGUAGUCCCCAAGGCCUGGCAGUUUGUGAAAGAAGUUCAUUUUGUUUAGUCCAUAUUUUAGGAUCAGUUGCUGGAGUCACUGACCACAUGGCUCCUUCCUAUCCUCUCGGUUGAAGAACUUCAAUCACUAGCAAACACACUUGACUGAUGUGCCUUUUUCUUGUUUUUCACUGAUUGUCUACGUCAAAGGCACAAUCUCCUUCUGGCCAAAUUUUUGUUAUAAACCUAACUCUUGCGCUUAACUUUUUUUGAUUGUUUGUUUGUUUGUUUUUUGGUCUCUUUAGGGCCGCAUCUGUGGCACAUGAAAGUUCCCAGGCUAGGGAUCCAACUGGAGCUUAAUUAGCAGACUCCAAAAACAAACCCAGGAAAAAUUUCUGACAAUAUUCUGGAGUAUCCCCAAGAACUAACAUAAAGACAGACAGCCUUGUCCUUUUUUUUUUUUUUUUUUAAAAUGGACUCAGAAAUGCCAAUUUAGAUGACCUCCAACACGUCAUUCAACAUUUCAAAAAUCUAGGAGUUCCUGUCGUGGCGCAGUGGAAACGAAUCCGACUAGGAACCAUGAGGUUUCGGGUUCA